UACGGGGGGGGUAAGCGUUGUUCGGAAUUACUGGGCGUAAAGGGCUCGUAGGCGGCCAACUAAGUCAGACGUGAAAUCCCUCAGCUUGACUGGGGAACUGCGUCUGAUACUGGAUGGCUUGGAUUUGGGAGAGGGAUGCGGAAUUCCAGGUGUAGCGGUGAAAUGCGUAGAUAUCUGGAGGAACACCGGUGGCGAAGGCGGCGUCCUGGACCAACACUGACACUGAUGAGCGAAAGCCAGGGGAGCAAACGGG
rnacentral:rRNA from 1 species